UACGUAGGGUGCAAGCGUUGUCCGGAAUUACUGGGCGUAAAGAGCUCGUAGGUGGUUUGUCGCGUUGUUCGUGAAAACUCACAGCUUAACUGUGGGCGUGCGGGCGAUACGGGCAGACUGGAGUACUGCAGGGGAGACUGGAAUUCCUGGUGUAGCGGUGGAAUGCGCAGAUAUCAGGAGGAACACCGGUGGCGAAGGCGGGUCUCUGGGCAGUAACUGACGCUGAGGAGCGAAAGCGUGGGGAGCAAACAGG
rnacentral:rRNA from 1 species